rnacentral:rRNA from 1 species
GAUCAUGGCUCAGAACGUACGCUGGCGGCACGCCUAACACAUGCAAGUCGAACGAAGUAGCAAUACUUAGUGGCAGACGGGUGAGUAACAUGUGGGUAUCUGCCCUUUGGCCUGGAAUAACACGAGGAAACUUGUGCUAAUACCGGAUAAGUCUUUACGGAGAAAGCUUUAUGCACCAUUGGAUGAGCCCGCACUUGAUUAGUUUGUUGGUGGGGUAAUGGCCUACCAAGACUGUGAUCAAUAGCUGAUUUGAGAGGAUGAUCAGCCACAUUGGGACUGAGACACGGCCCAAACUCCUACGGGAGGCAGCAGUGGGGAAUCUUGCACAAUGGAGGAAACUCUGAUGCAGCGAUGCCGCGUGAGUGAAGAAGGCCCUUGGGUUGUAAAGCUCUUUCGUCGGGGAAGAAAAUGACUGUACCCGAAUAAGAAGGUCCGGCUAACUUCGUGCCAGCAGCCGCGGUAAUACGAAGGGACCUAGCGUAGUUCGGAAUUACUGGGCUUAAAGAGUUCGUAGGUGGUUGAAAAAGUUAGUGGUGAAAUCCCAGAGCUUAACUCUGGAACUGCCAUUAAAACUUUUCAGCUAGAGUAUGAUAGAGGAAAGCAGAAUUUCUAGUGUAGAGGUGAAAUUCGUAGAUAUUAGAAAGAAUACCAAUUGCGAGGGCAGCUUUCUGGAUCAUUACUGACACUGAGAAACGAAAGCAUGGGUAGCGAAGAGGAUUAGAUACCCUCGUAGUCCAUGCCGUAAACGAUGUGUGUUAGACGUUGGAAAUUUAUUUUCAGUGUCGCAGCGAAAGCGAUAAACACACCGCCUGGGGAGUACGACCGCAAGGUUAAAACUCAAAUGAAUUGACGGGGACCC